CAGUCGAACGGUAACGCGGGGCAACCUGGCGACGAGUGGCGAACGGGUGAGUAACGCAUCGGAACGUGCCCAGUAGUGGGGGAUAGCCCGGCGAAAGCCGGAUUAAUACCGCAUACGACCUACGGGUGAAAGCGGGGGACCGCAAGGCCUCGCGCUAUUGGAGCGGCCGAUGUCAGAUUAGGUAGUUGGUGGGGUAAAGGCCUACCAAGCCGACGAUCUGUAGCUGGUCUGAGAGGACGACCAGCCACACUGGGACUGAGACACGGCCCAGACUCCUACGGGAGGCAGCAGUGGGGAAUUUUGGACAAUGGGCGCAAGCCUGAUCCAGCCAUGCCGCGUGCGGGAUGAAGGCCUUCGGGUUGUAAACCGCUUUUGUCAGGGAAGAAACGCUCUGGGCUAAUACCCCGGGGUAAUGACGGUACCUGAAGAAUAAGCACCGGCUAACUACGUGCCAGCAGCCGCGGUAAUACGUAGGGUGCAAGCGUUAAUCGGAAUUACUGGGCGUAAAGCGUGCGCAGGCGGUCUUGUAAGACAGAGGUGAAAUCCCCGGGCUCAACCUGGGAACUGCCUUUGUGACUGCAAGGCUUGAGUGCGGCAGAGGGGGGAUGGAAUUCCGCGUGUAGCAGUGAAAUGCGUAGAUAUGCGGAGGAACACCGAUGGGCGAAAGCAAUCCCCUGGGCCUGCACUGACGCUCAUGCAC
rnacentral:rRNA from 1 species